CCUACGGGAGGCAGCAGUGAGGAAUAUUGGUCAAUGGACGAGAGUCUGAACCAGCCAAGUAGCGUGAAGGAUGACUGCCCUAUGGGUGGUAAACUUCUUUUAUAUGGGAAUAAAAUGUUCCACGUGUGGGAUUUUGUAUGUACCAUAUGAAUAAGGAUCGGCUAACUCCGUGCCAGCAGCCGCGGUAAUACGGAGGAUCCGAGCGUUAUCCGGAUUUAUUGGGGUUAAAGGGAGCGUAGGGGGAUUGUUAAGUCAGUUGGGAAAGUUUGCGGCUCAACCGUAAAAUUGCAGUUGAAACUGGCAGUCUUGAGUACAGUAGAGGUGGGCGGAAUUCGUGUUGUAGCGGUGCACUGCUUCGAUCUCACGAAGAACUCCGAUUGCGAAGGCAGCUCACUGGACUGCACCUGCCACUGCGGCUCG
rnacentral:rRNA from 1 species